rnacentral:lncRNA from 1 species
GGCCAUGGAAAGGCCAACGGGGAGCCCACGUGGGCCCUGCUGCUCACGGCCCUCAUCUGUGAGACCGGCAUCCUCAUCGCCUCCCUGGACAGCGUGGCUCCCAUCCUGUCCAUGUUCUUCCUCAUGUGCUACAUGUUCGUCAACCUGGCCUGUGCUGUUCAGACCCUGCUGCGCACACCCAACUGGCGUCCACGUUUCAAGUUCUACCACUGGACCCUCUCCUUCCUUGGGAUGAGUCUCUGCCUUGCGCUCAUGUUCAUCU